rnacentral:rRNA from 1 species
AUGGAACUUCUGGGGCGGGCUCCCCACCGGAGCGGCACCGAGAUCAAUGAAUCUAAUGAGUUUAAACUACCAGGGAGGGGGAAUUCACGGAUAGUUCAUGAGUUAGCGACGCUUGUUCAGUCGCAUUCCCCCAUGUUGGUCUUCUUGUAUGAAACUAGACAAAAGGAAGAAAUGAUGAAGAGGUUGAGAGGUCGUAUAGGCCUGAAGGGCUUUGAAUGUGUUGAUAGCAAUAGACUAAGUGGUGUCCUUGCACUAUAUUGGCAUGAAAAUUGUUUGGUGGAUAUCUUGGAUAGGGACGAGAGGUAUAUUUAUAUUGCACUUCGUAUGCAGGCGGAUGCACCUCAGUGA